ensembl:lncRNA TRIM52-AS1 TRIM52 antisense RNA 1 (head to head)
AUGGUGUGCCGGGGGCCGCGCGGGCCGGGAGUUGGGUGGGCUGGGGGACAGGCGCGCCCGCGCCGCCCGCUCCAGCUGGGCUAGUGCUGCACAUUCCGGCCAGCCCCUCCUCAAGACCCCAUUCCCAAGCCCCUUCUCAGCUCCCUCGGGCCGGCAGAGCGGCUCUGAUCAGAGCACCAUGGCCUGGCAAGGUCCGACGUUUUCCAAGGAUCCUGGCUGAGCUCCUGUGGAAGCUGCUUCUUACACUGAUGUGGUCCCUCGGCUGGCAGGCCCUUCUGCGGCCAACCAGGUGACACCUGCCAGUUAUGAGGGACAGGUUUUUCUGGCAUUGUCUGCCCAGCUGCUCCAAGCCAGGCUGAUGAAGGAGGAGUCCCCUGUGGUGAGCUGGAGGUUGUAGCCUGAAGAUGGCACAGCUCUGUGAUUCAUCUCCUGCGGUUGUGGCGGCCACGGUGAUGGAGACUGCAGCUCAACAGGAGUGAGAAAUGGAAUCAUCGUAUCGCUGAUCUAUGUAAACAAACUGAAGAAUUGUCUGAAAGAAAAUAUGACAUGAACUUAUGAAUUCAACAGGUGAAGAUUUACAACUUGAUAAAUCAACUGUCAGCUCGAGCUGUAAAAGCCAAAGGUCCGGUGAUGAUCCCAUACCCUUUUUUCCAGUCUCAUGUUGAAGAUUUUUAUGUAGAAGGCCUUCCCAAAGGAAUUUUUUUUUUUUUUUUUUUUGAGAUGGAGUUUUCACUCUUAUCGCCCAGGCUGGGGUGCAAUGGCGCAACCUUGCUGGUCACUGCAACCUCUGCCUCCUGGGUUCAAGAAAUUCUCCUGCCUUAGCCUCCCAAGUCACUGGGAUUACAGGUGCCCACCACCAUACCAGGCUAAUUUUUGUAUUUUUAGUGGAGAUGCGGUUUCACCAUGUUGGCCGGGCCAGUCUCAAACUCCUGACGUCAAGUGAUCUUCCCGCCUCGACUCCUGAUAUCAAGUGAUCUUCCCGCCUCGGCCUCCCAGAGUGCUGAGAUUACAGACGUGAACCCAUGCCUGGCCAGGAAUUUUGUUUUUUAGGAAGGCUUUCUACUAAUGGAAUUCCUGGCCUUGAGAGGAUGUUACUUUAGAAGGAAAGGAUUUUUUUGUUAUUAAAAG